rnacentral:rRNA from 1 species
GACGAACGCUGGCGGCGUGCUUAACACAUGCAAGUCGAACGGAAAGGCCCUGCUUUUGUGGGGUGCUCGAGUGGCGAACGGGUGAGUAACACGUGAGUAACCUGCCCUUGACUUUGGGAUAACUUCAGGAAACUGGGGCUAAUACCGGAUAGGAGCUCCUGCUGCAUGGUGGGGGUUGGAAAGUUUCGGCGGUUUGGGAUGGACGCGCGGCUUAUCAGCUUGUUGGUGGGGUAGUGGCUUACCAAGGCUUUGACGGGUAGCCGGCCCGAGAGGGUGACCGGCCACAUGGGGACUGAGAGACGGCCCAGACUCCUACGGGGGGCAGAAGGGGGGAAUAUUGCACAAUGGGCCGAAGCCUGGUGCAGCAACGCCGCGGGCGGGAAGACGGCCUUUGGGGUGUAAACCGCUUUCGCCUGUGACGAAGCGUGAGUGACGGUAAUGGGUAAAGAAGCACCGGCUAACUACGUG